GAUGAACGCUGGCGGCGUGCCUAAUACAUGCAAGUCGAACGAGUUCUCGUUGAUGAUCGGUGCUUGCACCGAGAUUCAACAUGGAACGAGUGGCGGACGGGUGAGUAACACGUGGGUAACCUGCCCUUAAGUGGGGGAUAACAUUUGGAAACAGAUGCUAAUACCGCAUAGAUCCAAGAACCGCAUGGUUCUUGGCUGAAAGAUGGCGUAAGCUAUCGCUUUUGGAUGGACCCGCGGCGUAUUAGCUAGUUGGUGAGGUAAUGGCUCACCAAGGCGAUGAUACGUAGCCGAACUGAGAGGUUGAUCGGCCACAUUGGGACUGAGACACGGCCCAAACUCCUACGGGAGGCAGCAGUAGGGAAUCUUCCACAAUGGACGCAAGUCUGAUGGAGCGACGCCGCGUGAGUGAAGAAGGCUUUCGGGUCGUAAAACUCUGUUGUUGGAGAAGAAGGUCGGCAGAGUAACUGU
rnacentral:rRNA from 2 species